rnacentral:tRNA from 1 species
GGAGAAAUACCCAAGCGGCUGAAGGGGCGGGCUUGGAAAGCUCGUAGGCUCUUAACCGGGCGCGAGGGUUCAAAUCCCUCUUUCUCCGCCA